rnacentral:tRNA from 1 species
GCCGGGGAUAGCUCAGUUGGUAGAGC